CUGAUCUACACAGCCCUGGUUUUCCAGGAGGGAAAUCAGGCUGAGGGAGACCGGCCUUAGGUGCCCCGACAAAGCGGUGGUAACGCCAAGAGAGUGACAACAGUCUCCCAGCCCAGUGCCCGUCCCAGCCCCCAUGUGGUGUUGGCCACAGCGGCAGGUGACCAGGACUAGCGAACACGGAGGACACUGUGUGCUCCAGCAGCGAGAAGUCCCUUUACUAAAGCCUCUUUUCAACCCUUCAGACCUGGAGGCCGCGGGACCUCAUCUGCCAAGACUAACUGGCGCCGCACCAGGAGGAAACAUCAAGGGGCACUUCGUGGGCCAGCCACGGCCCCACAGGAAAAGUAUUCCAUGUCCUCCUGUGUCUCCGGUCCCAUCUGCCUGGCCCUUCAGAAAGCACCGCGGGGCCACGGAAGGAGCCCUGGGCACAGAGUGCGAAACGUGGCUCAGUCACAGCGUUCGGGACCUGCACUAUUUACUCCCGCUCCGAGCCUCAGUUCCCUUGACUUACAAAGUGGAGACGGUCUCGUUACCGAGGUCGCUGUGAGGACUGAAGACACGAGCAAGAGAGCCCAGCCCAGGCCUGGAACCACGUCCAGUGGGAACACAGGUCUCCCUCCUGAGUCUUCAGGGCUUUAAGAGCCUCUGGAGGACUGUAGCUUGGUGGAACCCACUUGGGGACAAACCAGAAUUUUUGUGUUGGCCAAGGAGAACCCCAGGACAUAAACUUUAAGAAAGAACUCACCGUUCAUCUCCAAGCAGUGAGCAGGCCGCCUGAUGGGAGGAGCUGGGAGGCCGAGUGUGUCAGAGGCUCCCUCCCUGUGCCCAGGUUCUCCCUGCCCCGUUCUGCUUUUCCCCUUCUAUCUUCCACGUUCCCCAAGGAAGCCCUCAUGCUCCUAACACCACUGCUGAGUCUGUUACUGCCGGCCCCUAACAGACACCUCACGCAGGGAGAGGGGCCUGCCCCUGGCCCGAUACACUGGGAGGCCAGAGGAAGAGGAGCUGCUCGUGGGGGGCCAACCGGGAAGGGCCGGGAGGGUCUGGGCACAGGCUGUGGCCAUGUGAGAGAAGCCUGUUCCCCCAACGGGCUGGGCCCGCUCACCCUGCUGCUCUCACCUUCAGCUCCGACUUCUUCUCCAGGGCCUUGGCGAUGACCCUGGCGGCCUCCACACCCACCGUGUUGCCCUCCAAGCGCAGAGCCUCUAAGCCCUCGAAGUCUUCAAUCUCUUUAAUCACGUCUUUGGCUGCCCAGGACCAAAGAACAGAAGCUUAGCCUUAGACUUUUGGAGUCAUGGACAAGCCAAGGCAGGAGAGGCUACUGUGUCACUCGCGACUCCAUGGCUGACAAAGGUGGGUCAGGCAGCCAUGCGGGGGGCUUGGGAGCCAAAGGAAAAGAGCAACUGGCUGCGGAGGCAAAAAUGCUCAGGGCACCUUGUGGGUGGCAAGCGGGCAUGGCCCAGGAUGGCAUGUGCCAGGCCAAGUGGGGAAUAAAAAACGAGGCUAUCCAAAGUGGUUUGGGCUGGUCACACUUACAAAAUGCUGUAUGUAUUCUCCCUCUCUCACGCAGAGAACAAGGUCUAGUGGGAUUGAAAUCAAAUGUUAAAGCAGUAACUACCCGCUCAGAGGUGGUGGGCUCGUGGAUGAUCUCAGUUUUUUUCUAUCACCUUCAAUGAGACGUUCUCAAUAGAUCAGGUUUAAAGCAGCUUUUAAAAGUAUCUGUAAUAUGGUCCCACUUAUUUUUCUUAAAAAGCAGUCAACUAUGUUUAGGGAAAAAAGAAAGACCAGAAAGAAAAUGCACCAGAGUCCUAGGCAGUUGGAAUAAGCAAGGGGAGAAAAAGAGAGAAAAAUGCACCAAAAUUAAC